rnacentral:ncRNA from 1 species
UUAAAGACAAUAAGAAAGACAAGUAAAACAUUUAGUACUGAUAGAGAGUUGGGAAAUGGUGGAAGCCUGAUGAGUCAACGAAUGUUUGAAUAACACUUUCCUAGUUGCAGGCCCAAAUGAGUGAUCAAAGUAGGUUUUGACGUAUUUCGGUCCGUUACCACCGAACACGUAUGCUAGUACGUGAGUAGAGAUGUUUAUUUAAGUAUAAACAAUUUGGGUGGUACCGCGAGUCCUUCGUCCCGGAG